ensembl:snoRNA SNORA74 Small nucleolar RNA SNORA74
UCCAGCAGUAGUCAGCUAUCUGGACAGAACAAUUCCUGUGAUGGUGUUACACUGCUGGGAGAGGAAUAUCUUGUCUUCUUCAUCUAGUUGCCUAUGUCACUGUUCUGGUGGCAUGUGGCACUGGUAUAAGGCAGGACUUUGCUUCCUUGAGAGUGUGCUAAGCAUUCACUUUGGCUGCUUAGUUCAAGUUAGGGAGCAGACAUG